CGUGUAGGCGGCCUGUUAAGUCUGGAGUGAAAGUCCUGCUUUCAAGGUGGGAAUUGCUUUGGAGACUGGCGGGCUUGAGUGCGGAAGAGGUAAGUGGAAUUCCCAGUGUAGCGGUGAAAUGCGUAGAGAUUGGGAGGAACACCAGUGGCGAAGGCGACUUACUGGGCCGUAACUGACGCUGAGGCGCGAAAGCGUGGGGAGCGAACA
rnacentral:rRNA from 1 species